AGUUCAUGCCGUUAUGACAGGUGGCGCUAUUGGGUAUCAUUCAAGUAUAAAAAGCAAUAUUUUUAAAUAAUCUUUGUAAAAUUUCGUCUAAUUCACAACUUAUAGUAAAAAUCGCCUAAAAAUCGCACAAAUGAUUAAAAUAUCGCCAAAUUCAAGAAUGGUGUCGCAGGUGUACCUAGAAAAUCGCACGGUCUGGUCACCCUGUCGAUCUGGCCGGGAGCUUGGAGAUCUCUGGUCUCGUCAAAAGUCCGCGCGAGGGACGAGGACCUGCUUACGCUUAGGCCUGGGCCACAUAAGAGCGUAGAGACGCGUUUGAGCGCGGAUGAGAGCCUGUGGCGCUGCAAAAUUUGCUCAUGCCAACAGCGCUUUAUCCCUAUAUAAUACCUAGCAGUAAGCUCGCGGAACACACUCCAAACGCGCGCCACAAUUCUCAUCGUCGUCUGCAUCGGAGCAACAUUUCGAGUUACAUCAGCUGAAAUAAAAUGACUCCCACUGAGAAGAUUUUUUUGAAAUGGUACAGCACUAAUUCUUUUAUAUUUGACAAAAAAGAUGAAAGAUAUUAUAAGAGAUUCAGAAAGGUCCAGAGAUACAACUGAAGUUCAAGUAUCUGAGAGAUAUUUUUGUCAGAAUCCACAAUAAGAUACAGAAGAGCGAAUCUUUAACUUGCUAUGAACAGAUCAUCUAUGAAAAAAUGUUUUUUCUAAAGUCUCAUAUCACUCAUAAAGUCUAUAAUGAAGAGACAUCUAAAUAUGAAAUUAUCAGCAAUGUUAAAGUUAACGAGUCUACUUUUGAUGCUUGUAUUUCAGAAAAAAAAUUUCAGAAAGUUUUUUUAAUAGUGUUAAAACAAUUAAAACUAUUGGAAGUAAAAUUGAAAUUUUGAAUGAUAUUAUUAAAAGUUAUCCGAAUAAUGAACAGCAAAGAUUAUGCUUAUUAUUUAUUCUUAAAAGAAUUAAAGGUUUUCAAACUUCCUCAAUAAAUUAAAAAUAAUUUUUCACUACAAUUAAUACUGAAAUAAUUAUGUAUCAUUAUUCUGAAAGACAAUAAAAUAUUUUGAAAAUUCUACAAUGUAAAAUAUCAAAUAAUAAUAAUCCGUAUUAUGAUAGGAAUUUAGGCAAAACAUGAUUCUACGUACAUUUUGGAGCAGUAUAGUUCACAGCAAGUUUGCAGAGGACUCUGUGCCCUGUGGGCCCUGAUGCAGCUUUUAGUAAUUCCAGAGUGGAUCAGUGUUGCUGAUAUUUGUUGAUUAUUGCAGUUUUUUACUGUCAAAAUAAAUUUCUAUAUGUGUAUAUAUUACUUGAAUUAAAUUCAUAUGUAUUUAUAUAAUCCUGGAUGAAAA